rnacentral:rRNA from 1 species
UACGGGGGGGGCAAGCGUUGUUCGGAAUUACUGGGCGUAAAGGGCUCGUAGGCGGCCAACUAAGUCAUACGUGAAAUCCCUCGGCUCAACCGAGGAACUGCGUCUGAUACUGGAAGGCUUGAACCCGGGAGAGGGAUGUGGAAUUCCAGGUGUAGCGGUGAAAUGCGUAGAUAUCUGGAGGAACACCGGUGGCGAAGGCGGCAUCCUGGACCGGUAUUGACGCUGAGGCGCGAAAGCUAGGGGAGCAAACGGG